GGAGUACUGAGCACACUACUACUGCUUGAGUACUGAAUACACUUCCAUCUCCUGAGUACCAAGUAUACUACCAUCUCUUGAGUACUGAGUAUACUACCACCUCUGGAGUACUGAGCAUACUACCACCUCCUGAGUACUGAGUGCUGAGUACACUACUCCACCAGGGUCACAGGCUUCUUACUCCUCACUAAUUUUAAUGAUGAUUUUAUCUUCCAGGGUUAACAAAAUUAGUAGAUUUACACAAAUGAUGGAGAAUGACUAGUUUACACUUUGAAAUAACUUUUUUGGGUAAACCUUACAUUUCUUCUAUUUUAUUUCAUGUGCAGAGCUCACGCAUGGCUGGCCUUUCCUCCCCACCAUCCACCCGGGAGCCAGACCAUCCACUCCCGCUCCUGUGGAGUUCUCGCAGGUUGCCUGAUGUGUUUAUCAGUGCACAAAUGUGUUGACGCUCUGGCCUCACCAGGCACAAGAGAAAUAAAGGAAGAAAAGUCCAGACAAGAUGCUCCUGACUAGACACUUAGCAUGAAGGCACAACCAUACAUUGAAAGAGAAGAUUUGACUGGGGAGCUGUGAUUGACACCAGAAGUCCUUUUAAAUGGGAUGCCCCACAGCCGGCAGCACUCAGGUGUGAAUACAGGUGCUGAGGUCUGGGUGUCAUGUAAGUGUGCUUGGAGCAUUGCUUCACAAGACCAUCUGACUUGCAGGACCACGGCACUCCACAAAACAUAGGUAUGUGGUUUUGAAUGACUACCAUCGACAGUUUGCACAGGGACAGAAGUUGAGGGAGAAGUCGGAUCCUUCUUAGGGCACUCUGUGCUUUAAAUGAUUAAACAGCAUAGCAUUGAGAUGUACGUCCAAAAAAAAAAAAAAAAUCGGUUGUGUGAGAGGAGACGCAAGCACGGUUCUCUGCAUCCGAUGUAAGGAGAUGCAGACACACAGAGCUGUCCCCUCCACUUCCUCACCUCGGAGCAGCUGCUCUCACACGGCACUGUCUCCUGCAGGAAAGAGAUCUGGCCACCCGGCUGCCACUUGGGUUUGUUCUCACACUUGUUGAAAAGCAUUUCCCCGGGCUCAAUGUGUACUCAGCGAUAACAUACAAAGGAGUAUCAUUUUUUUGUUGUUUUCUUUUGAAGAGGUUUCGGGGUUAAAUUCUUUGCGAGAAAGAUUUUUUUUUUCUUAAAGUCAGAAUGAUGGAAACUUGGGUCUCCCCUCUGUGAUAUUUUACUAGUAAGAAGCUGUGCUGGUAUUGUUUCUACAGGAAAAUGUAGAUGUUAGAAUCUCGCACACGAAGCUCUUUAAAAGUUCGGUUUUGAAGACUAGAGCCUGUGUAGAAUGCAGCCUGUGGCAGCUGCUUUGCCUUAUCAUCCUGUCCUAUGGGAUCUAUAACCUCGGAUCCCACCGCCUUCACGGCGUCUUCCUUCUCUUAACAAACUGGUAUCUGGGAUCUUGCCAUGUAUUUGGAACGGGGGAAAACAAAGCAAAACAAUAGAGGACAAACCAACCACCUUUAAAGUCCGCUGAUCCACAUUACAAAUGAGCAUUUGAGAUUGAUCUACAAGCAAAAACUGUGCCUGGACCGUGUGGACACAAGGCAGAGUCCGAUGAAGAUGAAUGCUCGCCAUUGGUGGCACUCCAGAGGCCGAGGCAGGAGGAUCGGGGAUUUGAAGUUAGUCUGGCUAGAUAGUGGGAUCCCAUUUGAAAUAGAAAAGAAACAAAGUAAACAAAGUAUCAGGAAACUGAUACUUCUUUUUAUGAAAAGUUAAUUAGGGUCGAUUUGUGCUGUUCUUGAAAUAUGACUUUGGAGACCUCCUAUAAAAUACUUGGCUUCAUAGCCAGUAUAUUUCUGACGUCAUUUCAGGUAGGUUUUCCUACAUGAGAAUAGGUUUGUGGAGCUGCUCCCACCCAAACACACAACACACACACACACACAUAUAUAUGCACCUGUGUGUUCUAGUAUGCAUACUGUACACUCAUGUGUAUGUGUGUGCACUGUGUGCACCCAUGUAUGUUUGCCGGCUCACGAGCAUGGUUUUUAUUCUGCUUCAAAGGCUCUGCUGGGGUCCUGAGAACAAAAGCUAGAGCCAACCAGAGCUCUGAAGGAUUUAUGGACCCAGGUCAGAGGCUCCCAUUGUCUUCUAUUAUCUAGUGAAUGUGUAACACCUGUCUCUCCGGGAGGAAACAGAAAUGUGUGUGCACAUAAACAUAUUUAUGCCAAGUAUAUUUUAAGUUUUAUAAGGGGGUGCAAGCAUUUUAUACAUAGAAAAGCAUAAUACUUGGUAAAUUCUGGAUGCAUGUGGCAUUAGUGUUAACUGCUAUGUUCGUGGAAUUUGCUAUUAAUUUUCCAUAAUCCCAUUACCAAUAAUAAUAAUAUAAAUUGUACCACAAACAAAAUAUUUGAUAUUCAAAUCAACAAAAAACAAAUAUCUCAUCUCAUUAACAAAUUAGUAAAAUUCCAACAUAGAUUAGAGCUGACAAUUUUGCAAUUAACACAUACAUAAGACCAAACAGGAAAAAAAAAAACUCCAAAAAAAAAAAAGCUAUUAAGUCAAGUCAGCACUUUACUAACUCAUAAAUUCUGUGAUUCCUUCUCCAAAUUACAGCAGAGUUUUGGAUCAUUCAAAGAAUACAAAGGGGUGGUGAGAAAUGGACAGCAACACUGCCACAUACAGUGUCUUCUCCAGACAGAAGUAACAAACAACAAACCCUCAGACCAUAACUGGGAGUAAAGCAGAAGAAACACACUUUGAAACAAUGAGCUUUGCCCUAUUGCUUUCAUAUUUAGCCUGAUUUUAUUAUAAAUUUAUGUUAAUUUGUGAAUAGUGACCAUGUUAUCAGCAAGCUCACAGACUUUCUGAGAUUUUAAGAACUGGCUCUAAACUGGCUCUCUGACCCAAAAACAAAACCCAAAAACACAUAAGCAUCCUUAAAAGCUGUGGCCAGUUUGGGUGUUGCUAGCUUUAUAAGAGGAUUUAAUGAGUCUCUAAAAGGAACUAACAUCUCUAUUAUAAAAGCUAAGCUAAUUUUGUUCUUCGAUUUGUCUUUGCCAGACUGAGGGAAAGCAGAAUUGUUAACUGUAGUCCUCAGACUGUGUUCUUUGCUUUAGCUGCAAUCCCCGGUGGGGCUCAGUCCUCUUUGGAACAUUGUGUCCAGUACCUAAGUGUGAGCUCACAGGAAACGACACUGGUCUGAUUCCUAACAUGCUCAAAGCUCCAGUCUGACUAGGAAACAGAUCUUCUUGCUUGAAUACACCGUGGAAGAAGAGUUUGGAGCCGAGCCAGGCCCUACCUGAGAUGCUUGAUCUUAAGUUGCCAGUUUGAUUGGAUCUGGGAUCAACUAAGAGACACACCUCUGGGCAGGGCUGUGCUAGCAUUUCAUGGAAGGAUUAGCAGAAGCUUAGCCCAGAGUUCUCAGCACUUCUCAGCAGCAGUGUGGGGAGGUUCUGUGAUGCUUUCGCCUGUCCACCUUUGUAGGUGAGUGGAUCCACCCUGUUGCAGCUGCCCCUGGCUGCCCCAUCCUUCACUGGCAAAGCAACAAAGCUUCUCCUGCCUUGCAACAUGGACUGAAGACCAGUGGUUCUCUAGGAACUUUCCAGGCCUUCACUGAUUGUACUGCUGAGGUACCCAGCCUCCUGGACGGGGCAACGCUUCCCUGUACAGGCAGCCACUGCCUGACUACCCAGCCUGCAUCUGUAAGCGGAGCUAAGAGGUCCCCUUUACAAUAGAUAUCUGCUCUCCUCUAGGCUGACUCCCUGCCUUAUUUAUUGCCUUUGGUGUGGCAACGAAACUGUCUGAGGCCUCCAGACAGUCUAGUCUGCCAAUUGUUCUCAAAAUGGAAGGGAACAGAACACAUAAUAAUUCAGAGUACAGUAAGACCCGAACUACAAAGGACAGAGAGCAGUGACUAAAAUAACCCCAAAUCACUUUCACUGUCAACAGACCAAACAGGACCUAAUCUAAUGGAAAUUAAAAAAAAAAAAGUUCCAAGACACAAAUAGAAAAUAAUCCAUAAUAGUGUAGAAUUUACCCCAAUGGGGAUUUCUACAAACACAAAAUACUCAUGAGUAUGACAAAGGCUUUCCUCCUUUUCUAUUUUAUAGUAUUUAUGACAUUUCCUACACAGCUGCCUCCAUACCGGCCUUUACCAGUGGCCUGAACUCCAAGCAUCCUGAAAGUAGAUGUGUAGGUGGUGCGUUUACAAUGGGACUUGGUGAAUUCACAAAGGAGCAAAAAUUGCAAGCCUUCCCAGUGUACAGUGCGGUCUCUGUAGCCAGGGGAUAAAGAACUUCAACUCUUUAUCACAACCUGGGAAAGCCACUUCCUUCCUUUAGAAGAAGGCUCAGGCCAUGAUAAAGAAACGUGUGGGGCACAAGGAGCCGCGUGUAGUGAGCCAGGCCUUUCUCUAACCAGCAUCCACAAACGUGGUGCACAUCUACCUGACUCCUUAAACCAGAACCCUGCUGGUCCAGGGAGAAGCCCAAACGCUCACUUUCCUCCACUGCAGCUUCCCAAAACUCAGAAAAUACCCUGCAAUAAUUUUAUCAGGCAGUAGAUUUUCCAAGGUGUGCACGUCCUAUGAAAGCUAAGUAGGGGAAAAGCGUGAGCAGACUUGUCAUGGGUUGCUAGGGAGAUGGCUCAGUGGUAAGAGUUUCCUGGGAACACUAGAGGACGUGAGUUCAAAUCUCCACCACCCAUAUGAGAAACCAGACAUAGCCUCAGCUACCUAUAACUCCAGUGCUAGCAGAGGACGUGGUAGAGAGAAGGGAAGAUUCAAAUUACUCACCAGCCUGCCAACAUAGCCAAAACAGCCAGCGACGCACGCACGCACGCACGCUCGCGCAUGGGCAUGUACCACCUCCCUGCCCCGUAUGCUAAAAAAGUCAUCACGGGGGGAAACCCCUUCAAAAUGUAGACAUGAUACAGAAUUCAUAAACAUUGGAAAGGACUUGAUCUCCAGUGUAAACUACAGCAAUCCUUGGAAAUAUUUGGAGACGGGAGGAAACUCGGAUGUCCUCAUGGACCACCUAUAUGGAGCCUAACUUAGAAACUUUAAACCCAAACCAUUUGCCAAGCAGGACUGUAAUACAGCUCCGAAGCUAUUUCAAUUCCUAGAACUCCAUUCAUCUCAACUACAAACUAUCUCCAGCAAGUAAAUGCUGGGGCGGGCAGAGGACAUCUAAAGCAGAGGCUCUGGGCUGUGUUCCUCCAAGGUUCAACCCAUUAGGCAGUGGCACUAUUAGGUAUGGGUUUCAGAAUCAUCCUGUUGCCAACAGAGGCCUACGAUUGGUGAUCACCUCACAAGCAGCAGUUGGGGGCAGAAGAUCUGCUUCCAGAGAUGGUCAUACAGAAUGCCCACAAAAUGUACAUUCGUAAAAAUAAAGGAGGGGAAAGACUAUGAGGAAGAAUGAAGGGGGGAGGAGGGGGGGUGUGAAUACAGGUGCUGAGGUCUGGGUGUCAUGUAAGUGUGCUUGGAGCAUUGCUUCACAAGACCAUCUGACUUGCAGGACCACGGCACUCCACAAAACAUAGGUAUGUGGUUUUGAAUGACUACCAUCGACAGUUUGCACAGGGACAGAAGUUGAGGGAGAAGUCGGAUCCUUCUUAGGGCACUCUGUGCUUUAAAUGAUUAAACAGCAUAGCAUUGAGAUGUACGUCCAAAAAAAAAAAAAAAAUCGGUUGUGUGAGAGGAGACGCAAGCACGGUUCUCUGCAUCCGAUGUAAGGAGAUGCAGACACACAGAGCUGUCCCCUCCACUUCCUCACCUCGGAGCAGCUGCUCUCACACGGCACUGUCUCCUGCAGGAAAGAGAUCUGGCCACCCGGCUGCCACUUGGGUUUGUUCUCACACUUGUUGAAAAGCAUUUCCCCGGGCUCAAUGUGUACUCAGCGAUAACAUACAAAGGAGUAUCAUUUUUUUGUUGUUUUCUUUUGAAGAGGUUUCGGGGUUAAAUUCUUUGCGAGAAAGAUUUUUUUUUUCUUAAAGUCAGAAUGAUGGAAACUUGGGUCUCCCCUCUGUGAUAUUUUACUAGUAAGAAGCUGUGCUGGUAUUGUUUCUACAGGAAAAUGUAGAUGUUAGAAUCUCGCACACGAAGCUCUUUAAAAGUUCGGUUUUGAAGACUAGAGCCUGUGUAGAAUGCAGCCUGUGGCAGCUGCUUUGCCUUAUCAUCCUGUCCUAUGGGAUCUAUAACCUCGGAUCCCACCGCCUUCACGGCGUCUUCCUUCUCUUAACAAACUGGUAUCUGGGAUCUUGCCAUGUAUUUGGAACGGGGGAAAACAAAGCAAAACAAUAGAGGACAAACCAACCACCUUUAAAGUCCGCUGAUCCACAUUACAAAUGAGCAUUUGAGAUUGAUCUACAAGCAAAAACUGUGCCUGGACCGUGUGGACACAAGGCAGAGUCCGAUGAAGAUGAAUGCUCGCCAUUGGUGGCACUCCAGAGGCCGAGGCAGGAGGAUCGGGGAUUUGAAGUUAGUCUGGCUAGAUAGUGGGAUCCCAUUUGAAAUAGAAAAGAAACAAAGUAAACAAAGUAUCAGGAAACUGAUACUUCUUUUUAUGAAAAGUUAAUUAGGGUCGAUUUGUGCUGUUCUUGAAAUAUGACUUUGGAGACCUCCUAUAAAAUACUUGGCUUCAUAGCCAGUAUAUUUCUGACGUCAUUUCAGGUAGGUUUUCCUACAUGAGAAUAGGUUUGUGGAGCUGCUCCCACCCAAACACACAACACACACACACACACAUAUAUAUGCACCUGUGUGUUCUAGUAUGCAUACUGUACACUCAUGUGUAUGUGUGUGCACUGUGUGCACCCAUGUAUGUUUGCCGGCUCACGAGCAUGGUUUUUAUUCUGCUUCAAAGGCUCUGCUGGGGUCCUGAGAACAAAAGCUAGAGCCAACCAGAGCUCUGAAGGAUUUAUGGACCCAGGUCAGAGGCUCCCAUUGUCUUCUAUUAUCUAGUGAAUGUGUAACACCUGUCUCUCCGGGAGGAAACAGAAAUGUGUGUGCACAUAAACAUAUUUAUGCCAAGUAUAUUUUAAGUUUUAUAAGGGGGUGCAAGCAUUUUAUACAUAGAAAAGCAUAAUACUUGGUAAAUUCUGGAUGCAUGUGGCAUUAGUGUUAACUGCUAUGUUCGUGGAAUUUGCUAUUAAUUUUCCAUAAUCCCAUUACCAAUAAUAAUAAUAUAAAUUGUACCACAAACAAAAUAUUUGAUAUUCAAAUCAACAAAAAACAAAUAUCUCAUCUCAUUAACAAAUUAGUAAAAUUCCAACAUAGAUUAGAGCUGACAAUUUUGCAAUUAACACAUACAUAAGACCAAACAGGAAAAAAAAAAACUCCAAAAAAAAAAAAGCUAUUAAGUCAAGUCAGCACUUUACUAACUCAUAAAUUCUGUGAUUCCUUCUCCAAAUUACAGCAGAGUUUUGGAUCAUUCAAAGAAUACAAAGGGGUGGUGAGAAAUGGACAGCAACACUGCCACAUACAGUGUCUUCUCCAGACAGAAGUAACAAACAACAAACCCUCAGACCAUAACUGGGAGUAAAGCAGAAGAAACACACUUUGAAACAAUGAGCUUUGCCCUAUUGCUUUCAUAUUUAGCCUGAUUUUAUUAUAAAUUUAUGUUAAUUUGUGAAUAGUGACCAUGUUAUCAGCAAGCUCACAGACUUUCUGAGAUUUUAAGAACUGGCUCUAAACUGGCUCUCUGACCCAAAAACAAAACCCAAAAACACAUAAGCAUCCUUAAAAGCUGUGGCCAGUUUGGGUGUUGCUAGCUUUAUAAGAGGAUUUAAUGAGUCUCUAAAAGGAACUAACAUCUCUAUUAUAAAAGCUAAGCUAAUUUUGUUCUUCGAUUUGUCUUUGCCAGACUGAGGGAAAGCAGAAUUGUUAACUGUAGUCCUCAGACUGUGUUCUUUGCUUUAGCUGCAAUCCCCGGUGGGGCUCAGUCCUCUUUGGAACAUUGUGUCCAGUACCUAAGUGUGAGCUCACAGGAAACGACACUGGUCUGAUUCCUAACAUGCUCAAAGCUCCAGUCUGACUAGGAAACAGAUCUUCUUGCUUGAAUACACCGUGGAAGAAGAGUUUGGAGCCGAGCCAGGCCCUACCUGAGAUGCUUGAUCUUAAGUUGCCAGUUUGAUUGGAUCUGGGAUCAACUAAGAGACACACCUCUGGGCAGGGCUGUGCUAGCAUUUCAUGGAAGGAUUAGCAGAAGCUUAGCCCAGAGUUCUCAGCACUUCUCAGCAGCAGUGUGGGGAGGUUCUGUGAUGCUUUCGCCUGUCCACCUUUGUAGGUGAGUGGAUCCACCCUGUUGCAGCUGCCCCUGGCUGCCCCAUCCUUCACUGGCAAAGCAACAAAGCUUCUCCUGCCUUGCAACAUGGACUGAAGACCAGUGGUUCUCUAGGAACUUUCCAGGCCUUCACUGAUUGUACUGCUGAGGUACCCAGCCUCCUGGACGGGGCAACGCUUCCCUGUACAGGCAGCCACUGCCUGACUACCCAGCCUGCAUCUGUAAGCGGAGCUAAGAGGUCCCCUUUACAAUAGAUAUCUGCUCUCCUCUAGGCUGACUCCCUGCCUUAUUUAUUGCCUUUGGUGUGGCAACGAAACUGUCUGAGGCCUCCAGACAGUCUAGUCUGCCAAUUGUUCUCAAAAUGGAAGGGAACAGAACACAUAAUAAUUCAGAGUACAGUAAGACCCGAACUACAAAGGACAGAGAGCAGUGACUAAAAUAACCCCAAAUCACUUUCACUGUCAACAGACCAAACAGGACCUAAUCUAAUGGAAAUUAAAAAAAAAAAAGUUCCAAGACACAAAUAGAAAAUAAUCCAUAAUAGUGUAGAAUUUACCCCAAUGGGGAUUUCUACAAACACAAAAUACUCAUGAGUAUGACAAAGGCUUUCCUCCUUUUCUAUUUUAUAGUAUUUAUGACAUUUCCUACACAGCUGCCUCCAUACCGGCCUUUACCAGUGGCCUGAACUCCAAGCAUCCUGAAAGUAGAUGUGUAGGUGGUGCGUUUACAAUGGGACUUGGUGAAUUCACAAAGGAGCAAAAAUUGCAAGCCUUCCCAGUGUACAGUGCGGUCUCUGUAGCCAGGGGAUAAAGAACUUCAACUCUUUAUCACAACCUGGGAAAGCCACUUCCUUCCUUUAGAAGAAGGCUCAGGCCAUGAUAAAGAAACGUGUGGGGCACAAGGAGCCGCGUGUAGUGAGCCAGGCCUUUCUCUAACCAGCAUCCACAAACGUGGUGCACAUCUACCUGACUCCUUAAACCAGAACCCUGCUGGUCCAGGGAGAAGCCCAAACGCUCACUUUCCUCCACUGCAGCUUCCCAAAACUCAGAAAAUACCCUGCAAUAAUUUUAUCAGGCAGUAGAUUUUCCAAGGUGUGCACGUCCUAUGAAAGCUAAGUAGGGGAAAAGCGUGAGCAGACUUGUCAUGGGUUGCUAGGGAGAUGGCUCAGUGGUAAGAGUUUCCUGGGAACACUAGAGGACGUGAGUUCAAAUCUCCACCACCCAUAUGAGAAACCAGACAUAGCCUCAGCUACCUAUAACUCCAGUGCUAGCAGAGGACGUGGUAGAGAGAAGGGAAGAUUCAAAUUACUCACCAGCCUGCCAACAUAGCCAAAACAGCCAGCGACGCACGCACGCACGCACGCUCGCGCAUGGGCAUGUACCACCUCCCUGCCCCGUAUGCUAAAAAAGUCAUCACGGGGGGAAACCCCUUCAAAAUGUAGACAUGAUACAGAAUUCAUAAACAUUGGAAAGGACUUGAUCUCCAGUGUAAACUACAGCAAUCCUUGGAAAUAUUUGGAGACGGGAGGAAACUCGGAUGUCCUCAUGGACCACCUAUAUGGAGCCUAACUUAGAAACUUUAAACCCAAACCAUUUGCCAAGCAGGACUGUAAUACAGCUCCGAAGCUAUUUCAAUUCCUAGAACUCCAUUCAUCUCAACUACAAACUAUCUCCAGCAAGUAAAUGCUGGGGCGGGCAGAGGACAUCUAAAGCAGAGGCUCUGGGCUGUGUUCCUCCAAGGUUCAACCCAUUAGGCAGUGGCACUAUUAGGUAUGGGUUUCAGAAUCAUCCUGUUGCCAACAGAGGCCUACGAUUGGUGAUCACCUCACAAGCAGCAGUUGGGGGCAGAAGAUCUGCUUCCAGAGAUGGUCAUACAGAAUGCCCACAAAAUGUACAUUCGUAAAAAUAAAGGAGGGGAAAGACUAUGAGGAAGAAUGAAGGGGGGAGGAGGGGGGA
rnacentral:sRNA from 1 species